GAAUUGCAUUCGAUACUGGGAGGCUAGAGUUUGGUAGAGGUAAGUGGAAUUCCAGGUGUAGCGGUGAAAUGCGUAGAUAUCUGGAGGAACAUCAGUGGCGAAGGCGGCUUACUGGACCAAAACUGACGCUGAGGUACGAAAGCGUGGGUAGCAAACAGGAUUAGAUACCCUGGUAGUCCACGCCCUAAACGAUGAGAACUAGUUGUUGGGAGCCCUUAAUAGCUCUUAGUAACGAAGCUAACGCGUUAAGUUCUCCGCCUGGGGAGUACGGCCGCAAGGUUGAAACUCAAAGGAAUUGACGGGGGCCCGCACAAGCGGUGGAGCAUGUGGUUUAAUUCGAUGCAACGCGAAGAACCUUACCAGCCCUUGACAUCCUCGGAACUUACUAGAGAUAG
rnacentral:rRNA from 1 species